UUUUGUUUACCAUCACCACAAACUUAAAAGAUUUAUAUCCAUAGCAAUUCCAAACUUAAAAUCAUGAUACAUAAAAUUCUUGCAAUCUUAUAACUAUAUAACUCUAAUGGAAUCAAACGACUAGACUUAAAGAAGAGGUUAGCAACAAAUUUAUUUAUUAAUUUAUAAGGGUAAUCUUAAAAGGUUAAAAGCUUAAAGAAGAAAAUGUCUUAG
rnacentral:lncRNA from 1 species